rnacentral:rRNA from 1 species
ACGAACGCUGGCGGUAUGCCUAACACAUGCAAGUCGAACGGGACUCUUCGGAGUCUAGUGGCGGACGGGUGAGUAACGCGUGAGAAUCUGCCUAGAGGAUGGGGACAACCACGGGAAACGGUGGCUAAUACCCAAUGAGCGGAGACGUCAAAGAUUUAUCGCCUCUAGAGGAGCUCGCGUCUGAUUAGCUAGUUGGUGGGGUAAAAGCCUACCAAGGCGACGAUCAGUAGCUGGUCUGAGAGGACAACCAGCCACACUGGGACUGAGACACGGCCCAGACUCCUACGGAGGCAGCAGUGGGGAAUUUUCCGCAAUGGGCGAAAGCCUGACGGAGCAAUACCGCGUGAGGGAGGAAGGCUCUUGGGUCGUAAACCUCUUUUCUCAGGGAAGAAGAAAGUGACGGUACCUGAGGAAUCAGCCUCGGCUAACUCCGUGCCAGCAGCCGCGGUAAUACGGAGGAGGCAAGCGUUAUCCGGAAUUAUUGGGCGUAAAGCGUCCGUAGGUGGCUCUUCAAGUCUGCUGUCAAAGAGUGGGGCUUAACCCUGCAAAGGCAGUGGAAACUGAAAGGCUAGAGAGCCGUAGGGGGUAGAGGGAAUUCCCGGUGUAGCGGUGAAAUGCGUAGAGAUCGGGAAGAACAUCGGUGGCGAAAGCGCUCUACUGGACGGUAUCUGACACUGAGGGACGAAAGCUAGGGGAGCGAAUGGGAUUAGAUACCCCAGUAGUCCUAGCCGCAAACGAUGGAUACUAGGCGUGGCUUGUAUCGACCCGAGCCGUGCCGGAGCUAACGCGUUAAGUAUCCCGCCUGGGGAGUACGCACGCAAGUGUGAAACUCAAAGGAAUUGACGGGGGCCCGCACAAGCGGUGGAGUAUGUGGUUUAAUUCGAUGCAACGCGAAGAACCUUACCAGGGCUUGACAUGUCCGGAAUCCCUUGGAAACGAGGGAGUGCCUUCGGGAACCGGAACACAGGUGGUGCAUGGCUGUCGUCAGCUCGUGUCGUGAGAUGUUGGGUUAAGUCCCGCAACGAGCGCAACCCUCGUCUUAGUUGCCAGCAUUAAGUUGGGCACUCUAGAGAGACUGCCGGUGACAAACCGGAGGAAGGUGGGGAUGACGUCAAGUCAGCAUGCCCCUUACGUCCUGGGCGACACACGUACUACAAUGCUACGGACAAAGGGCAGCAAGCCAGCGAUGGCAAGCCAAUCCCAUAAACCGUGGCUCAGUUCAGAUCGCAGGCUGCAACUCGCCUGCGUGAAGGAGGAAUCGCUAGUAAUCGCCGGUCAGCAUACGGCGGUGAAUCCGUUCCCGGGCCUUGUACACACCGCCCGUCACACCAUGGGAGCCGGUUUGGCCCGAAGUCGUUACCCUAACCUGAAAAGGAGGGGGAUGCCGAAGGCCGGGCUGGUGACUGGGGUG